GGAUUAGAUACCCUGGUAGUCCACGCCGUAAACGAUGACAACUAGCUGUUGGGAGACAAGAUCUCUCAGUGGCGCAGCUAACGCUUUAAGUUGUCCGCCUGGGGAGUACGGCCGCAAGGUUAAAACUCAAAUGAAUUGACGGGGACCCGCACAAGCGGUGGAGCAUGUGGUUUAAUUCGAUGCAACGCGAAAAACCUUACCUACUCUUGACAUCCUGUGCUACAUCCAGAGAUGGAUGGUUCCCUUCGGGGACGCAGUGACAGGUGCUGCAUGGCUGUCGUCAGCUCGUGCCG
rnacentral:rRNA from 1 species